rnacentral:lncRNA from 1 species
GAAAUACGAGGAUUAGACUUCAUUCAGGAUCGACCGAGGGUCGUGUUGGUGAGCUUUGGAAAAGCCAAAGAUGUUAAAAUCACCAAAAGUGCAUUGGAAACGAGUCCACGAGAGCAAAUGGUGCGAAAUCUGCACUGGAGCAAAACUGCUCUCGGGGACCGGUCCCUGGCAGGGAGGGACCGGUCCCAUCAGCGGGUGUUGCGGGGUUGCUUGAGGCAACCGGUCCCUGGCAGGGAGGGACCGGUCCCCGAACGUGAUCCCAGCGAGAAAGCCAGAAAUUUGGCUAAGUCCUGAAAAUAUUGCUCUCGGGGACCGGUCUCUCAGGCAAGGACCGGUCUCCCGAGGACCGGUCUCUCUGGGAGGGACCGGUACCCGAACGCGUGACCCGAGCUGAAGCUCUCGGGGACCGGUCCCAAGUCGGGGAGACCGGUCCCUCCGCGCGCAGAAUGCCCAGUAAGG